rnacentral:lncRNA from 1 species
AGAAAUCUAUUAAACAUAAUGAAUCCACAAUGUUUCUUGCCAUGUGGCAAGAAACCCUUCAUUCUUAGGUUAAUAGAUAGAUAAUCUAUACCUAUACUUAUUUUAUUAAUCUCUAAUAACGUAUUAAUUCUCUCUCCUUUAAUUCUCACCGUAUUAGGCAUCUCUUCAUCUCCCCCACCCUUCCCCUCCCCUCUCCUCUCCGGUAUAUCUAUUAACAUUUCAUGAAUUAAUGAUAAACUACAUUAACGUUUCAUGGUAAUUAUAAUCAUAAUUGAUUACUCUACCAAUAUGUUUUUAUCUUUUCAUAGUCACCAUUUCAUUCUUUUAUUAUUUUGCUAAUUUUUUUUUCAUGGACAAGACGCCAUCGUGAGGAGAAGCAUUGAAAGAUAAUUCACAUAAAAGUUUGUAAUUCAUUGAAUGACUAAGAUCGAACUUUCAGAUGAAUCAAUUACUUCUUGUGAAAGAAAAAAAGUCAUUUUCAUAAAUUCAUUCUUUUUUUUAUAUAUGUACCUUUUGGUUUUCUAUUUUGGGUGUUAAUUUGAUGGGGUUUAUGUGAUUUGCAAGCUUGAGCUGAGAAGCUUGGAUCCUUUCCUUCUCCUGGAUAAGUUUGAAGAUAUUUUGGUUUCUAGAAAGAUGUGAAAAUCUAUUUUUUUCCGAUUUGGAUAAAAAAUUUAGAAUUUUUAUCAUUAAAUUUUUCCAAAUUUUGCUUGAUUUUUCUCAACCGUUCCUUUUCUUUUAAGUUGGGGUUUUUUUUUUGCUUGAAUUACAAUUUGUUUUGUUGUAGUUUCUCCUCCCGCUGGGUUUUCUAAUCACUCUCAUAGAGGUUGGUUUUGAAAAAUUACAACUUAUUAUCCAUGGUCUUAUGUUAUAGGAUAUUUGCUUCUGCUCAGGUGUUGUUGUGCUUAAUUAUGUUUUUUUUUUUGAGACUGUUACAUACAUGUUAGAGGUAACUCAAGUUACACAUCUCUGUUAUAAUUCAGAUUGGUUUGUAGUAGAUGCUCAUGAGGUGUUCACUGAAUUGCUUCUGUGGGGUUUUAGGGCUCAUUCACUCAUCAAGAUUUCGCCAGGCAUAAGGGCACAAUUGGGUCCGGAGAUGUGCAGAUUUGGCAUUGUUUGGUUUUUUUUUUAAUAUAAAAAAAGGAUUGGUAAAAAUAUUUACUGAGAGAUCCUCUAUAGGCCAUUUGAAAUAGGCCCUCAAUUUUAUUUAAUUUUCAAUUAACACUCACUUGAACUUGUAACAAUUUUUUUUAUUUGAGUUGUUAUGUGUAAUCAAAUUGUAAAUUUUGUAUUUGUCCUUUCUUAUUAUCUUAUUAUUUUUUUCACUAAACUAUUGAGUUUGAUUAUAUAGAUUGUUAAGUUAAUAAGUAUGAAAAUAUCAUCUUUAAUAGUUUUUUAUUUUAAUAGUUACAAUUUUAAUUUAAUAGUUUUUAUUUAAUAAAGAGAUUGAAAAUUUUGUUUGUAAAAAAAAUUUUAUUUAAUAUUAGUUUCAAUUUAAACUAAUAUUAAUUAGUUUAUAGAAAUAAUGAUUGUUUCGAUAGUGUCUACCCGCUGCAUCACGCGGGUAAUUACACUAGUAUAUGAUGAGUUUGGAACUUACACCAAUACCUGUUGUAUCUUCCUAAUUUGAGUUACAUGCAUGAAGAAAAACUAAGCAUCCUACAUAAAACAUAUAGAAGAUUAUUGAAAUAUUACGAACUUACGAAAUGGUUGGUCCUUAGAUGUCUGUCCUUUACGAUAUUUGAAAACGUCUACAUAUAAAAAAUAAUACAUUUUAGACAUCUAUUUAACACCAAUCGAACAAUGUUCUUUCUAAUUCACGAAUUUUGGGACUAUUUUCAUGCGGACUGGUUAGAAAUCUAUGAUGAUUUUGAAACUCCAACAAAUCUUAUUGUAUCUUCCUAACUUGAGUUACGUGCAUGAUGGAAAUCUAACCAUCCUAAAUAAAAGAAAUAUUAUACAUGGUGUUGGUGCCGAAAUUCUCCGACCCUUGACCUAGUCAACGAUCCUCCUCUCGGAGCGCGUCGGGAUGCGAAACGGCUGCGAAUAGUGACCCUCGAAGUUUGCGCCCUUCGACAGAUCAAGCGAUUCGGCUAACGAGGGAUCGAGUUAGCCGGGUUCAAAACCUCUACGGUAAAUUCGGGUCGGCCGGAUGAGCCGAAUGAACAAAAGAAGUAAGAAAUUCAGCCAAGGAAUGAGCCGAAUGGCUAAUACAGCACCAGAGCUAGUCGGCCUGAAGAGCCGAAAACUGUCUUCUAUUGAAAGAGCAAGUAAAAAGUACAGGAAAAGGGUUGUAGUCUACAGUGGAGUGAUGCCCAAAGGGCAGACAGACUCCAGAAUGCUAAGUUACAGGAACUACUCCUAGGAAAAACAGUAAAUGCGAGAAACAAAGAUGCAGGAAAAGAAAAGUGGUCUUUCGUGCGCAGGGGCGAAGACCUCCUUUUGGGGUAUUAUUACCCUAUUUAUAGAUAGCCCCUUCGGUCAGUUAUUUCUCUUUACACGAUCGGCCACUAUCUCCUCAUACUCUGGACCACUUCUAGCCGAUCGGAACCGCAUGUAACUGCUUGCGGUUACCAUAACAUCUUUCAAUUGGCGCGAUACCCUUUUCUGGUGCUCCUGAUACACGACAAAAUGGACGCUUUUGAAGGAAUAUUCGCACCUAAAUCUCAUCCGCGCCUAAUUGGCUCAACAAUUGCCCCCUCGGUAGCUUUCGAAGUAACACUUCGGUAGCUGGCGUGAUCUGAGACACGGUUUGCUUUUUAACUUCCCGAUAUGUUUUCAUCUCAGCCGUCCCUUUUUUGCUGCCGAAAUCCUGUAAUUACUUCGAUAACAAAUGCGAUCCAAGGCAUCGUUCUCGAUCCAAUCACAUUCAAAAAUCUCUGUACCAGUACCAGACGUAAUUCGAGGCUUGACCCUCUGUACGGUUCAAUAUUAGCCGUUUAUUUUCUUUCUUACGGCCCGAUCUCAAUUUUCAUUUUGUCUCAUCUGCGGCAUUAACUAGGUCAUCUUAAUUACCGCCGUCUAUUCAUUAUUAAAGCCGACCUCGAAACUCGCUUUGACGCGACGGUUCGAUACGACGACCUUUCUUCUUCUCCAAGCUUUUUAUUCUUUUUGUCUCUUCUAUUUCUUCUUCGUCUUCCAGGAAACUUUUCUUUCGCUUCCCUUUCUUUCAUCUUCUCCGAUUUUAUUUUCCACUUGACUUUUUCUCUUUUCCUUUUUCGACUAAUGGCGUUGGUUCCGCCUCUUCCUUCUCAUCCAUCCCUGGAUUAUACUAUGCUUAAACCCUUCGUCGACUCAGACCCCUCUAGAUUUAUUUUGGGUCUUUCUCUUACAGAAGUGCCAGCCCCCAUCGAUUCGCCCUUUUCUGGCGACGGCUUUCCCCUGAGAAAAGCUAUUCAUCUUCAGUCUUGAUUCUCUUCUGCUUUAACAGGGAAGAGUCUUCGAACCUGGCCAAGUACUUCAGAGGCAUAUUUAACCUGGUUAGCUCGAGUAGAAGCCGCCUUUGGUGACUUUUUGCAAGAGGUUGGGAUAUAUGAAGCUAUUCAAUUGUCUCGGCAUCCUCCUAUUGCCGAUAAUCUUCUUCUAGCCGCCGCUCUAUGUUUUUGGUCCCCUACUUCUAAUGUUUUUUUUUUUCGAAAGAGGACCUCUUACCCCCAUUCUUUUUGAUGUGGCCGCCAUUACUGGCUUGCGCCCUCAUGGCGUUACUGUUUCUAUACCUUAUAAUCCUGAUGGCGUAUCUGAUUUUGAGGACCGUUUAGACCUCAAUGACUUGGCUUACUCCAAGUUCAUCCGCAAAUUCGCAGGUGAAUCCCCUGCUCCCGUUACUAAGAACGAACAUACGGCAUUCCUCCAUUAUUGGUUAUGCCAUAAUUUCUUCUGUACUCGUUCACAGAAGAUUAAUCGUGACUUUGUUCCAAUCACCGUUGAGUUGUCCAACGGCGAUAGAUUAGCUCUAGGGCCUUACUUUCUUUCUUGCCUUUGUUUAUAGAGAAAUUUUUGAUUCUAUUAAAAUACUGCCUUCUGGAGAUGGUAUUGCCAUCAGUUCUGGCUGCUGUGUUUUCUGGUUUCUUCAAAUAUUUUUACAAUUUUAUAUUCCCGCUUUAUGCCAAUCUCCUUUUAAUCCGACUUCGGUUGCUCAAUUUGAUUCUUAUGGGUUAGCUCUCGGCUGUCCACAGCCGAUGACUCUGCGUCAACCCUCUGACUUUCUUACUUAUUUUAAAACUUUUUAUGAGCCGAGUCCUGAAUCGGCUAUUUUUUGGGCUCCCUUUGCUGACCGUCUUAUUGGUCUUUCCUGGUUCCUUGCCCGGUUUGAAGCUAUAUAAGGUGAAUUGGCCUCUUCUCGCGCUAGUGAAUACUCAGAGGUCUGGUACUCUUAUUUAGCUCCGAGAGAUCUUCAUGUGGGGUUAAAAUCGUGCUCAGAAUUAUUACCAAGCACUGAGGUUUAUUCCCCUCAGUAUGUGGCCUGUCAGUUUGGAUUUGUUCAGCCGAUUCACGCUCCAUCCAAAUUUUUUACAACUAAUACAGCCGAUCAUCGACCCCCUACUAAAAGUAUAGCCGAAGCUGAUAAGAUUUCAGCUAUGGGAAAUCGCCUUCGUCGCUUCUUUAAAUUAGUGAGCUUCAGGCCGAACUAAACAGGAGUUGCUCUUGCCGGCUAUGCUACUAUUUGGGAUCAUUUUACUGAUCGUACUCUCGACCUUUCUCUUCUUCGGGCAUUCCGCAGACCUAUUCAUCCACUUGUUUCAGUUGAUCCUCCUGUCUCAUUAUCAAGAGAAGAAGAAGCUUCUGAGGUCAGGCCUUCUUCUUCUGUAAUGUACUCACCUUUAUUUUAACUUUCUUUUCAAUACUUAUUUUUUUUUCCUGCAGUCAAUUCCUGUUUCUUCAUCGGUCUCAGCUUCAGAAAAAAGACCGAUUGAGACCGUUCAAUCUACUCCUCCGCCGCCUCCAAAGCGGCGUAAGUCAAUUGCUAAAAGGUCCUAUUCUACACAUGCCGAAGGUAUUGCUUCGGCCGAUGUAUCAGAGAAAAAAGCUGAAGAAACGACUUCGGUUCCUAUUUCCGAAGAAACGCCUUCGGUUGAUGCUUCCAAACAAGACUCAGUUCCCAAUGAGCCCAUUGAGAUUGAGGUAUGUAUAUUUGAUUAGUCACUUUAACUCGUAUUAUUUGAUCAACUCGUUUAUCAUUCUUUUAAUAAAACAGUUAAUAAAACUGUCUUCUCCCGAAAAGAAUUCAAGAGCUCGUUUUGCUUCUUCUUUGAAGGCGCAAAUGGAUAGGCAGCUUCGCCGGGAAGCUUGUCUUGAAAAAAAACGAGGUAUGGAAAAAAAGAAGGCAACCGUUGCAGAGGCGAGCACAAUGCCAUCACUAGGUGAAACUAUAUCACCUCUUUCUGCCCUAAACCCAAUUACAAGGGAUGACAAAGCAAGUGUACCUGUCGAGCAAGGUUCUGGAGAAGCUCAAGGCUCUGGAGAAACAAGCACCAUACCUCCUCCUCCAACUCAUGGGACUUCCCCUUCUGCUCCUGAGGAUUCUCUAACUGCUACUCUUCAUUCUUUACUGGUUUCAAGUCCCAGUUCCAAUGAGGGGGAUGAUUUUUCGACUAUUAUUGUCUCAUCGGACACUCAACGUAAAUUUGAUGAAUGUCUUAAAAUAUAUAGCAAUGGUCCCCUCUGUUUAGCUUAAAAUCCGGAGCUACUUGAUCGGCUGUACGCUCUCUUAAUCGAUUUGGCCGAUCAAACAGAUAUUACUUCUAGUAUUAAAUGUUUUGUAGAGACUCUGUCGUCUCAACUUUCUUCUUUUUUGGCUCGGCAACAAUCUUUGGAUGCCGAUCUUUUAUCUUUAGAUCAACAUUUUCAUCGCGUUGAUCACUUUAAGAGGAAUAUCCCUGAAAUAGCUGACCCUAUUACUGAGGUAAAUCAUGAGGAUCAGACUUUGGCCAAUCAAGAAUCGGCUUUACAACAACGGAUUUCAACCCUUAAAGACGAGUUAGCAGCAGCCGAAUCAACUUUAGCCCAAACCUCUGAGCGCCGGCUUCAAUUGCAGAGUCAAUUAAAGACUAAAAGAGCAUAAGGAAUGAAAAUUCAGGAAGAGCUUUCUCAGCUCUACAAGGUGCAUCCCUUGAUGAAGCGCCGAAGAAAAGCUGCCGAAGCUGCCCAAGCCAACCUUAUAGCCGAAUGGAACCAACUCAAAGAUUUGUUAAUUUGAUUCAGCUUGUAAUGUUCUAACUUUAAUCUUGGUUUUUCUCCCCCCACAUAGAUGGGUAAUAUCUCUUUAAAUAUUUUUCAUUAAUUGGUUAUUCAUUUCUUGACCCAUCUCUGUUCUGCAAAUAAUAUGCAUUUCCUCUUGUGCUUCGACUGACUUGAAAUGGCUCGUCCCAAUUUGGAGACCAUUUUUCAUACGUUCGGUCUUUUUGACCGAUUGGAAAAACCAGCCGAAGUACUAAAUCACCGACGACAAAUGUCUUUGAUCGAAUUCUCUUAUUGUAUGUGCUUGCAUAUUAUCUAAAACUACUAACCGAGUAUCACAUACUUCCUCUGCUUUGUCCUUCAUUAGAUUACUGUAUUCAUCAGCCGACAAAUUUUUUUGCUUUUCUGUCCUCAAAGGAGCUGUUAUCUCGGCUGGAAUUACGGCCUCAUGUCCGUAAACUAACUGGAAUGGUGUCAUCCUUGUUGCCGUUUUCACUGAAGUUCGGCAUGCCCAUAAUACUUCGGAAAGUUUUUCAUUCCAUUUUCUAGGAUGCUUUCCGAUGUGUCGUUUCAUCAGGUUGAUGAUUAUUUUAUUCGCUGCUUCUACUUGUCCAUUCGCUUGGGCAUAAUAAGGAGACGAAUGGAGCAAUUUUAUUUUUCGAGACUCGAUGAACCGAACGAACUGUCCACCUGUGAAUAUUGUCCCUUGAUCAGUCGUAAUUGUCUCGGGAAUCCCAAAGCGAUGAAUUAUAUGGUCUUCCACAAAAUCAAUAAUUUCUUUUUUGGUAACCAACCGAGUGGGUUUUGCUUCCACCCACUUAGUGAAAUAAUCUACAGCCACUAUUAAAAAUUUGUGACCAGCCGAGGAGUUCGGCUGAAUUUCUCUAAUUAAAUCCAUGGCCCAUCCUCGAAAAGGCCAUGGUUUAAUGAUUGCAUACAUCUCAGAGGCCGGAAUUCUCUGGAUUGAGCCAUGAAAUUGGCAAUCCUGACAACCUUUGGCAUAUUCUACACAAUCUUGAUGCAUUAUUGGCCAAUAAUACCCUAAGUGCCGAAUUGCCCAUCUUAACUUUUUUCUGGCUAAAUGGGUUUCACAUAUUCCUUCAUGUUUUUCUCCCAUUAUCAACAGAGCUUCUUCAGGUCCCAAGCACUUUAAUAAAACCUCUUCGGCUGUUCUCUUAUGAAGUUGGCCAUCUAAUAAACAAUAGCCGAGAGCUCUUCUUCGAAUAUUAUAGUCGACCCUUGUAUUAGGAUCCUCUAGAUAUUUGAUUAAUAAUUCUCUCCAAUCUUCCUUUACUUCUAUGGGAGCUAUAAUCGGUUCUCGUUUGUGAACCGAAGGUAGCAACCUUCUCUGUAUUACUAUUGAUUCUGACUUCGGCUCUCUAUAUCCUGAAGCCGACUCAGCUAGUUCAUUAGCCUUUUUAUUUUUCUGUCUGCUCAAAUGUUUGAAUUCAGUCUCUCUGAAUUCACAUAGUAACUCUAAUGUCUUCCUUAAAUAGUUUUGUAAAUUCAGGUUUUCACAUCGGUAUUCUCCAUUCACUUGUUUGAUUACUAACUGUGAGUCACCGAUGACUUUGAUUGACUUUGCUUUCAAUUCUUCUAAAAUUUCUAGGCCAAUUAUUAAGGCCUCAUAUUCGGCUUGAUUGUUAGAGCAGCCGAAAUUUAGCUCGAAAGCAAAUUGGCAUAAAUACCCUUCAGGAGAUUGGAUAACUAUUCCAGCUCCUGCUAAUUCGGCUGUUCUUGAGCCGUCAAAAUAAAGUGUCCAAGACUGACAACCGACUAAAUUUUGUUUCGGUUCUUCUAAUUCUACACAUGGAUGAUCAGCCAAGAAGUCAGCUAUCGCUUGUCCUUUAACAGCUUUAGCUGGAAUAUAAUUAAGGGAGAAUUCAGACAAAGCCAACAUCCAUUUUCCAAGUAGACCCCUUAAUACAGGUUUGGCCAACAUAUACUUUACCAGGUCGGUUUUGCAUAUUACCAACACCUCAGUCGGUAAAAUAUAGUAUCUUAACUUUGUGCAUGAAUAAUACAAAGCCAAACACAAUUUUUCAAUAGCCGAAUACCGUUUCUCAGUAUCUAAAAAACGUCGGCUUAGAUAAUAAAUGGCUUGUUCUUCUUUUUCUUCAUUUUCCUGGGCUAGCAAACAUCUCAAAUUUUCCUCUGCAGCCGAUAUGUACAACUUUAUCGGCUGAUUUGGCUUUGGAGGCACCAGUACCGGAGGAUUCGAUAAAUAUCUUUUUAUAUUUUCAAACGCAUCUUGCUGUUCCUCCGUCCAAACGAAUUCUUCUUUGUCUUUAAGCCGAAGUAAUGGAGUAAAAACCCCAAUUUUUCCAGCCAAGUUGGAUAUGAACCACCGAAGAUAAUUAAUCUUUCCCAACAAACUUUGUAAUUCUUUUUUGCUUUUUGGCGACGGUAAUUCUAAUAUUGCUUUCGCUUUGUUUUUAUCAAUUUCGAUUCCUUUUUUAUGCACUAAAAAUCCUAAAAAGUUUCCUGCUGAAACUCCAAAAGCACAUUUUAAAGGGUUCAUUUUUAAAUUAUAUUUCCUCAUUCUUUCAAAGGCGAGUUUAAAUCAAUCCAAUGUUCGGCUUGCGACUUGGAUUUUACGACUAUAUCGUCAAUGUAUACUUCCAAAAUUUUGCUUAUUAAAUCAUGAAAAAUAAAAUUCAUUGCUCUCUGGUAAGUAGCUCCGGCAUUCUUUAAGCCGAACGGCAUAACAUCCCAUUCAAAGGUUCUAAUCAAACCAGGGCACCUAAAAGCCGUUUUAGCCAUAUCUUCCUAAGCAAUAUAAAUUUAAUUAUAACCAGUAUGUCUAUCCAUAAAGAACAGGACCUCGUUACCGGAAGCCGAAUCUACUAACAUAUCAGCUAUUGGCAUGGGGUACUCAUCUUUUGGUGUGGCUAAAUUUAAGUUCCUGAAAUCAAUAUAAACUCUAAGUUUACCAUUCUUUUUUCGUACUGGAACUAUGUUAGACACCCAAUCAACAUAACGGGCCGCUCUAAUAAAUCCGGCCUUCAAAAGAUUUUCUAUUUCAUUCUUAAUUUGGAGUACAAUACUCGGCUCAAACCUACGAGUCGGUUGUUUAAAAGGCUUAAACCCUUUUUUAAUGGGUAGCCUAUGCUCUACAAUUUCUCGACUUAACCCAGGCAUUUCUUCAUAGCUCCAGGCGAAGCAGUCCUUGUACUCCUUCAAUAGUUCUUUCAGCUCCUUCUGCUGUCGAGCCGAAAGCUUUGCACUUAUAUACGUCGGUCUCUUAUCUUUGUCGGAUCCCAAAUUUACUUCGAUCAGCGGGUCUUGGGUCUCCAACUUUUUCUCAUCGACUUUGAUAGGCGAUUCUUCUAGAUCCAAUUCUUUUGCUUGCCUAUUCAUUUCGCAUGACUUGUCGGUCUUGGUGACCGACUUCAUUUGAUUUUUCUUUUCGGUCCUGUAAACCGAAUCUAUUAUGACUUCUUCGGCUUUACUAGCCGAGUCAUCAAGUGUUAACACAUCGGCUGUGGCAGCCGAAUCUUCCUUAUAGCCGAUCUUGUUGAUCGGCUUAUCCUGUCGAGGCUCUUGACAAGCCUCUAUUCUUGAUUUUUCGGACUCCAUUUUAACCACUUUGGUGGCUCAUCGGCUGCCACCAAAGCCCCUUCUUCUCUAGUAAAGAUCAACUGGACUCCUUCUUCUGUAACUCUUACGAAGGAAAUUUGAUCCGGAUCCCCGUCGGCCCAAUUGAUAUGGCCGAUUUCUUCAGUGUUGAUGUCCACCAUUUGGGGCUGUCAUUCGGUCCGGAUUUCUUCAACUUUAUCUUCGACCCACUGGAAAAGUUUUUCGUGGAGUGUAGAAGGCACGCACUCGUUUGCAUGAAUCCAAUCACGCCCGAGUAGUAGGUUAUAUUGACUAUCUGCAUCAACCACAAAGAAUGCCGUUCGUAAAGUUUUAGAACCUACUGUAAUCUUAGUCGUAAGCACCCCUCGAGCUUGCUGACCGUUCCCAGAAAAGUCGGUCAUGAUCGUGUCCAUGGGUUUCAACUCAUCUUCAUCUUUGCCCAACUUCUUGAAGAAUACAGUGGGCAUGACAUUGACCAUCGCUCCGCCAUCUACCAUAACUCGGCCUACUGGCCGACAUUCAAUUAAGGCCUUUAUAAAGAGAGGCCUUAUGAAUCUCGUCUGCAUAGCCGAUGGUUUCUCAAAAACCACUGCAUCGGCUGGUUGAACAUCUUCCAAUUGCAAUUGGGCUACUUUAAGCCCAUCUUCUUCCUUUUCUUUGAACUCUUCAUACUCGAUAAGCUCCGCCUUAAAAGAUUGAGGCAGAGCAUAUACCAUAUUCACCUCAGCCGGUGAUUCUUCGCCUGACUUUCCUUUAAUUCUCUAUUUCUUUUUUUCCGACUCCUUGGCCGUCACGGCUGAAGAAUCGCUCUCCAUUCGGACUUUCCUUUUCUUAUGGGGCCAUCUUUCUCUCUUGAUCAUCGUUUCGAGAGAAGCUAUUUUGUCUUCUAACUCCCUCCUGCUCAUUUUUUCUUCUGACUCGGCCUCGGUUGGCCGUUCUAUUCUUGACUUCAUUCGAGGGGCAGGCGAUGAGCCGCCUGCCUCGUGGUCAUUUCUCAUUGGGCGAAAAGGGUGUGACUGUUCAUCAGGGCGCCUCCAUACAUUGAGCCUUAUCCCUUUCGCUUCUUCGUAGUGUUGUCUUACCUUGGCUUGCAUCCUCUGCUGCUGACGCUUUUGAGUUUUCGUUAACAUCAGCCCCUGCCACCUAGCCGAUGGUUUAACCUCAACUUCGUGCCAUUCAUCCACUGGCAUAUUCGCCGGUACCUUUACUGUCCUUAAAUGAUUUUUCAAAAUUUCUCUUCUCUUCCAAGGUCUCAGCCAAGGCUGAAUGCCGAGCUCGUUGACUAAUCUCCGACCGAGGAAUUCUAUGUCUCCCUUGGUCAUUCCCUCGAAUUCCGGUUCUGGUCUCGGCCUCGUUUGAUGCUACCAAUGUGGCCGAUAUCCAGGAAUCCUUGGCUUGGUGCCGAAAGGUCUACCCUGGUAGUCCCAUCGGCCUUGACGCUCGUCACGCCUGUUGUUGUAGUAAUCAUGCAGAAUCUUCUAUAUCAACAUGUCUUGUUUGCGUUGAACCGAUUUGACUUCUGGUUCAGUGUCAUUGGAGGCCUUGUUCGAGCCUUCUUCUUCUUGGUCUUCACCAUCAGGAAUGUCAUCCUAUUCCUCAGGGAACGCCAUCAACUCAUUCCACUCGUUGCCUCUUUUCUUGGCAUUCACAAUGGCUUCCCAAUCUUUUUUUAUCAUUUCGGCCUUGCACCUUAUGCAAAGCCGAAGAUGCUUUUUGGCAUGUGCCACGUUGUCUGUAGUCUCCUGGUCCGCAGUCUCUUUCCCUUUAACAUUCACCAUAUUAACCUGAAACAGAAACGAACUUCUGUUAAUUACUUUAUUUUCAUUUUCUUGGUCGGUUAAUAUGAGCUGACCCUCGUCUAUUUCUUCUUGGAUCUGCCAUUUCGCAGUCGCUUUUCCUUUUCCUUUCAUAUUCACGGCGAUGACCUGCGAUGGAAAAGGAUUCUUAUCAAUUUCCAUAUCUUUAUUUUCUUGGUCGGCAAAGAUAAGCCGACCCUCAUUUAUCUCUUUUUGAAUUUGCCUCUUGAAGGCAGUACAUUCACUAGUUUUAUGGCUCCAUGAAUGGUGCCACUUGCAAUAUCUUCUGCGUUUUAGUUCUUCUACAGGAGGUAUAGUUUGGCCCUUCUGUAGUUUAAUUCGUCCAUCCCUUAGCAACCGAUCAAAAAUCAGAUCGGUCUUUGCUAUAUCAAACGAAUAACUAAAUGCAGACACAUGUGCUUUCGCCUCUCUUGACUUGGCAGGUCUUAACAAAGCACAUUUGUAUGGUUGAUUAUUUCGCACCAUCUUGGCAGCACAAAUUUCGGCUUCAUCAGCCGAAUCCUCAUUUUCUUCAGACGAAUUUGGCUCUUCAUGAGCCGAAGACUCUUCAAGGAAAGAGAUAUUUUUCUCCUUUCCUUUGUUCCAAUUUUUGUUUCGGCUCCAUCUGGGCCGAUCUUCAUUGUUACCUUUCCGAAAUUGCUCGUAUUGAGCAACCCGAACUCCCAAAUCAAAAAGAUUUGGAAAGAAUUUAUCCUCAAAAUGAUCUUUAAUUUUAAAAUGCAUGCCGUUGAAUGCCAUUUUGGCAAAUUCCAAUUCCGACAUUCUUACGAAACAACGGCUUCGAGCAAUUUUGAAUCGGUUCAAAUAUUCAUCAGCCGAUUCUCCUGUUUUUUGUUUGAAUUGAGCCAAAUCCGCAACUGAUAGUUCUGGCUCUGUUCUAUAAAACUGUUCAUGAAAUUUACCUUCUAACUCAUCCCAAUCUCGGACAGAAUUAGCAGGUAAGCUCGUGUACCAAGUAAAAGCCGUCUUAGUCAAUGAGGUAUUAAAUAAUCUUAACUUUAAAAAAGGAUCUGCCGCGGCCUCACGGCACUGAGCUGUAAACCGCGCGACGUGCUCGACCGUAUUCUCGGUCUCGUCGCCGGAAAACUUGUCAAACUUCGGCAUCUUCCAAUUUGCUGGAUAUGGGUGUUCUAUAUCUAUAUUUGCAGAAUAUGGUGACCUGAAUACGGGCCGCAUUACCGGCCUUACGCUUACUCCGAAAGUAUUUCGGAUGGCUUCUUCUAUUUGCGCAUAAAUCUCGUUAUUAAUCCCCUGUAAAGGAGCUUGCGCUGGUGCUGGGUUCGGCGGGAGUGGAACUCCGAUGUUUUGUACUACGGGAUUAACCCCUUGUACAUUUGGAGCUUGCCCCCUAGCCCCUGCAUUUUGAGGCUGGUACACUACUACUGGAGGAGGUGGAGGUAACCCCCAAGCCACUUCUGGCUGUUGACCGGCAUUAACGACAGCCGGUCUAUAAGCCACUUGAUAUAGUGCCCCCUGGUACUGGGGCUGACCAUUUACUGGUGUUACAGGAUUUUGUAACACUGGUGUUAUCACAGGCGCUUACAGGCCUGUUAUCGGCUGUUCGUUCCGAGUUAACAACUGCCCUAUUCGGGCGAUGUUCUCGUUAGAGGCCGUAAUUGCGGCCAAGACGACAUCCAGCCGUGUAGUACUCGCAUGACUGUUUUGGUCCAAAACUUGCAGGACCCAAGUCAUUUGCCCAAGUGCUUGAGCCAGGCUAGGCUCUUGUUGGCCAGACUGACCAUUGGUCUCACCUUCAGCGGGUAAGACUGCUUGGCGCUCUACAACAUUCUCUGAAUUACUGGGCUGUUCACUCCUAGAAUUUCUAGGGAUAGCCCUAUUAUGAAGAUUCAUGGCGUUAUCCUCAGCCAUACUUUAUAUAUAAUGCAAAUUUACCUUAUAUCAGUGUCCUACCGGGCGUGCCAAAAAAUUGUUGGUGCCGAAAUUCCCCGACCCUUGACUUAGUCAACGAUCCUCCUCUGAGAGUGCGUCGGGAUGCGAAACAGCUGCGAAUAGUGACCCUCGAAGUUUGCGCCCUUCGACAAAUAAAGUGAUUCGGCUGACGAGGGAUCGGGUCAGCCGGGUUCAAAACCUCUACGAUAAAUUCGCGUCGGCCGGAUGAGCCGAAUGAACAAAAGAAGCAAGAAAUUCAGCCAAGGAAUGAGCCGAAUGGCUAAUACAACACCAGAGCUGGUCGGCCUAAAGAGCCAAAAACUGUCUUCUAUUGAAAGAGCAAGUAAAAAGUACAGGAAAAAGGUUGUAGUCUACAGUGGAGUGAUGCCCAAAGGGCAGACAGACUCCAGGAUGCUAAGUUACAGGAACUACUCCUAGGAAAAACAGUAAAUGCGAGAAAGAAAGAUGCAAGAAAAUAAAAGUGGUCUUUUGUGCGCAGGGGCGAAGACCUCUUUUUGGGGUAUUAUUACCCUAUUUAUAGAUAGCCCCUUCGAUCAGUUAUUGCUCUUUACACAAUCGGCCACUAUCUCCUUAUACUCCGGAUCACUUCUAGCCGAUCGGAACCACAUGUAACUGCUUGCGGUUACCGUAACUUCCUUCAAUUGGCGUGAUACCUUUUUCUGGUGCUCCUGAUACACAAACGAAUGGACGCUUUUGAAGGAAUAUUCACACCUAAAUCUCAUCCGCGCCUAAUUGGCUCAACACAUGGAAGAUUAUUGAAAUAUUACAAACAUGUGAAAUGCACGGUCGUCCUUAUAUCUAUACUUUAUAAUUUUUGAAAAAUUAUGCAUAUAAAAAUAUAAUAAAUUUUAAUAAAUUUUAGACAUCUAUUUUUUGAGAAAUGAUUAAGUACUUUAUUUUAUAAAAAUAAAAAAAUCUUAACAGUUUUUUUUUAGAGAUAGGUAGCACGCUACCCGCUUCGUUUAUUUCAUUUAAAAAUAAACUUAGCUAGAAAUGUGAAUCAACUAGGAUUCGAACUUGGGUCUCGGGUACCAACCACCAAGCCCUUUGCCACUACCUCUAGGGAUGGUUGGUAAAAAAAAAAAAAAAUCUUAACUGUUGAUCAAUGGAGGGUAAAUAUAUAAUUUUAACAUGUAGCAGUUAAAGGAUUAUUUCAUUCGAGAUUAUUUUUGUAAUUAAAUAAUGCAAAAUUAAAAAAAAAGUUUUGAUUGAUACCCUAAAAUUUAGGCACUAGUUUUGCAUUAAUUUGAGGAAUUAAUUGAUAUCCCAAAUUUAGGCAUUAAUUUAGGCAUUUAGUUUAGAAAUUUUAGUGUUUCUCUAAUUUAGGCAUUAAUUUAAAUAUAGGAAUAUUAUAGAAAUAGUACUAUUUUCUAAAUACGUUGAAUUUAAAUAUUAAAUAUUAAAUAUUAAAUAUUAAAUUUUAAAUAUUUAAAUUUAAAAAAUUUAAAUUUAAGUUAGAAAAAUUUUGUAUUACUAUUUUAAAAAAUUUAAUAUUGGUAAAUAUUUAAAUUCAACGUAUUUAAUAUGUUUAAAAAACUUUUAAAUUUCUCUAAUCGACCGUCCCUGUCAUGCCGCGGAUUACACGUUCCCCGGGCACGCCGACAAAUCUGCCGUAUACAAAAAAAUUUUUCUCGUAUACGAAGCGAUAGCUGUCUUUGUAAAAUAUACAAUACUACAAACAGUAGUGUAGAGCUGAAAAGAACUAAGCAGGUAAAACGAACAAAUCUCAUAUACAUACAAACUAACAAGUACAAAAACACUCGCUCUAGCGAGUUCUAGUAUCAGUAUGUACAUAAGCUCAAAAUAAAAAUACUAUUACCUGCAGCUGGUGAUCCUCUAGCACAGCGUUUCGUCGGAUAGGGCUCUAGCUUGUGACGCCCUUGCCUCGAUCCGCCUCUGAAGACACAGCAGUCGGAACAGCAGGCUCUGCAAAACACAGGGUAACAACUGGGCGUGAGAACUACUGUAAAAAUAAGUAGUCCUCAGUGGGUACCGCCCUCAACAUCAUCGGCUCACCCACUAAGACUACAGUAGGAAACAAGGCUAAAAGGUAAACCCGGAAAGAAAUCCACAACUACAUGCCACUACACUAUCCCAUUGUGUUUACUAUCAAUUCUGACCCAAUCUCAUUAGGGACUGUGUACGCACCGGUCCCACCUGUCUAAGCCGCGCUACCUCCAUGCUAAACAGUCCGUGGAUAGCAACUAAUCAGCGACAUCAACGCGAAAGCACAAAGCGAGACUCCGGAGCAGCACUCGUGGGCACGACCCAACCGAGUAUGCAAGCAUAUCUCUGUCGAGCUCAAUUAGGCUCUCACAGGCUGAAGUCAAGAAAACAGGUCUAUCAGUGCUACUAACCCCUAGUCACGUGCCCUCGGCACAAUCUGAUAUCGGAACGAUCAAAUUCUGGUCCGCCGUCAACCACUACGGCACCCACUAAUCCGGAACACUGUAAACACUACUGUAAAAAUCAGCUCGGCAUCUCAGCACGAGCGUAACUGAAAUCUGAACUACCUGGGAUACUCACUAUGAGGAUACUGCAACAGUAUAAAAAUACAACGGCCCCUAGGGCUAAAUCAAGUAGUUUAACAUAUGCUAGGUCCCGAACGUUGGUUUUCUCCUAUGUUUUAUCCAAGUCCCACAUGUAUGAUUAAUAACAGCUUAUAACAUACUCCUAAUUCAGUUAAUAUGUCUAAAACAUAGCUACUCAUGAAUUUGAGCUAAACAAUAACAACGUGCAAUAUUAACGAUACAUGUCGGCGCAUAUGGCUAUAGGAGUAGGAACCCGAUGAUAAACCCACCUCAAACGCUAAAUCCAACCCAGCGUGACAUCGAGAACGACGGAAAUGCACCCUCGCCCGGCCUCCUCGUGAUGCUACGAUGACGAAGACACGCUCAAACGGCUUCGUGGCGCGACAUCGACGACGAUCCACACCACCCGAAGCUUUCUCCACGUACGGCUCAAGAACUAUAUAGAAAAGAAAAUUAAAGCAAUGCACAGAUAUUUAAGUUGAUAAGCAUGCAUGGGGGUAAGGUGCACGUGGCAUCCUUAUCCCCAGCUAGCUUACUGACUCAAAAUAAAAUAAUAAAAAAAAUCAAGGAUACUACAUCCUUCCCUACUAUAAAAAGUUUCGUCCUCGAAACUUAAAACAUACCUCAGACCGGAGUCUCAAACAGGUAGGGGUAGGACUCUCGGAUCACCAUCUUCAGCUCCCACGUCGCCUCAUGCUUCUCGUGAUGACUCCACUGCACUUUUACAUACGGGAUGACCCAGUUGCCCAAUUCUUUCGUCUCACGAGCAAGAAUCCGCACCGGUCGCUCCUCGUAUCUCAGAUCCUCACCAAUCUCUAGUGGAGUGAAGUCAAUCACGUGAGAUGGAUCGAACACAUAUCUCCUCAAUGUUGAGACGUGGAAGACAUCAUGGAUACCUGCAAGUCGGGGUGGUAGAGCAAUCCGGUAAGCAACUGGUCCAACUCGCUCCAAUACCUCAAAAGGGCCAACGAAACAUGGACUGAGCUUUCCACGCACUCCAAAUCGGCGAAUCCUUCUGGACGGCGAGACUUUAAGAAAUACAUGAUCUCCAACCUGGAACUCCAAGUCUCGUCUCUUGGUAUCGGCGUAGCUCCUCUGGCGGCUCUGGGCUGUCAAAAGGUGUCGUCGAACAACUCUCACCUUUUCCUCAACCUCUAGCAAAAUCUGAGGCUCAAGUGUCAUUCUCUCACCUACAUCACUCCAAAACAACGGGGAUCGACACCUGCGUCCAUACAACGCCUCAAACGGAGCCAUCUGAAUGCUCGUUUGAUAGCUGUUAUUGUAUGCAAACUCUGCUAGUCUCAAGUGUCGAUACCAUCCUCCUCCAAAAUUCAGGACACAUGCCCUCAGAAUGUCCUCUAGAGUCUGAAUGGUCCGCUCCGACUGACCAUCCGUCUGCGGGUGAAACGCUGUGCUGAAAUGUAACUGAGUCCCCAAAGCUGUCUGUAAACUCAAAAAAUGUGACACAAACCUCGGGUCCUGGUCUGAUACGAUCGAUACUGGUACACCAUGUAGUCUGACAAUCUCAUCCAGAUACAACUGCACGAGUCUUUCUUUGGACCAGGUGGUCUGAACUGGUAGGAAGUGAGCAGACUUAGUCAGUCUGUCCACUAUCACCCAAAUAGCAUCAUAGCCACCUUGUGCUCUAGGCAACCCCACAACAAAAUCCAUCGUGAUCUGCUCCCAUUUCCACUCGGGCACUAACAGACUCUGAAGCUUGCCAGCAGGUACCUGAUGCUCGGUCUUUACCUGUUGACAAGUGAGACACUGAGCCACAAAUCUGCCAAUAUCCCUCUUCAUCCCGUUCUACCAGAACUGUGCCUUUAAGUCCUUAUACAUCUUGGUUCCACCAGGGUAAACCGUAUAAGGAGAACAAUAAGCCUCUCUCAAAAUAUCUGCUCGGAUCUCUGAAUCCAUAGGCAUACACAGUCGGUCCCUGUACCGUAGUACUCCCGAACUGUCCACCGCAAAACCCUCAGCCUGUCCCCGAUCUAGCUGCUCUCGAAUCCUCGACAAGUACGGAUCUCCACUCUGUUUCUCUCGGAUCCUAUCCAACAGAGUGGGCUGCAAGACCAGAGACAUCAGUCUUGCAGUAGACCCAGGGUACACCAUCUCAAGCCUCAGCCGCUGCAGUUCCUCAAGUAGCGGUCUCUGCCGAGUGAUCAACAAACUCAAGCUCUGCGCUGCCCUCCUGCUCAAUGCGUCUACCACUACAUUUGCCCUGUCGGGAUGAUACUGAAUACUAAUAUCAUAGUCUUUCAGUAACUCCAACCACCGGCGCUGCCUCAGAUUCAAUUCCUUUUGAGUGAACAGAUACUUGAGACUUUUAUGAUCGGUGAAAACCUCGCAGUGCUCGCCGUACAAGUAAUGUCGCCACAACUUCAGAGCAAAGACUACCGCAGCAAGCUCCAAGUCAUGCGUAGGGUAAUUGUUCUCAUAAUCCUUUAACUGCUGUGAAGUAUAAGCAAUUACCCUACCAUGCUGCAUCAGCACACAACCCAGUCCACUGUGCGAUACAUCACUGUAGAUCACGAAUCCUUCCCCCAUCACAGGGAGAGCAAAGAUAGGAGCUGACAUCAAUCUCUGUCUCAGCUCGUCGAAGCUCCUCUGGCAGUCCUCACACCAAACAAACCGAAUCCCCUUCCGUGUCAACCUGGUAAGGGGUGUGGAAAGCUUCGCAAAGCCCUCCACAAACCGAUGGUAAUAUUCUGUUAGUACAAGAAAACUCCUCACCUCUGUCACCGUCGUCGGUCUGGUCCAAUCCCGAAUAGCAUCAAUCUUCUUCGGGUCCACUACUACUCCCUCUGCAGAAAUCACGUGGCCCAAGAAAGCGACCUCCCGCAACCAAAACUUGCACUUCUUUAACUUGGCAUACAGCUUCUUCUCUCGCAGAAGCUGUAGCACAAUCCUCAAGUGCUCCUCAUGCUCAGCAUCAUUACGGGAGUAGAUCAGAAUGUCAUCGAUGAAGACUACCACAAAUCUAUUCAAGAACGGCUUGAACACUCUGUUCAUCAAAUCCAUGAAUGCGGCAAGGGCAUCGUCAAUCCAAAAGGCAUCACGGUAAACUCAUAAUGCCCGUACCGAGUCCGAAAAGCCGUUUUGGGAACAUCGUUGGCCCUCACCGUCAGCUGGUGGUAACUUGACUGGAGAUCAAUCUUCGAGAAGACGGAGGAUCCCUGCAGCUGAUCAAACAAAUCAUUAAUGCGCGGCAGAGGAUACUUGUUCUUGAUGGUCACUUUAUUCAGCCCCCGGUAGUCCACACAUAACCUGAGCAAACCAUCCUUCUUCUUUACAAAUAACACCGGCGCUCCUCAAGGUGAUACACUGGGUCUCACAUAUCCCUUGUCCAUCAAAUCCUGAAGCUGCGCCUUUAACUCUCUCAGCUCCGCCGGUGCCAUCCGGUAAGGUACCUUCGAGAUUGGUGUAGUUCCGGGAACCACAUCAAUCACGAACUCAAUCUCCCUCUUCGGCGGCAUCAUCGUCAACUCAGGGGGAAACAUAUCCGGAAACUCAUGAACUACAGGAAUAUCCUCGAGUCCCGGUGUCGCCGUAGGUACCUCUACUACCGUCGCCAGAAACGCGACGCAUCCUCUGCUCAUCAACUGUCGAGCCCUCGCCGACGAAAUCCAAAUGGCGAACAACGUGCUACUGCAACCUCUAAAAGUGAAUUUCUCUUGGCCUGGCUCUCGGAACAUCACAGUUCUUGCUUCACAAUCGAUAGUAGCAUAGUACCGCACCAGCCAAUCCAUGCCAAGCACAAUGUCAAAGUCCUGCAGUUUUCCUAAGACCAACAGGUCUGUGGGCAAGAUCCAAGAAUCCAACUGCACCGGACACGACCAACAACACUCUACAACCUAUAACACAUAGUCGGGGAUCUGCACCUCUCGUGUCUGCAACAAUGACCCUAACUCUAGACCAUGCAACAAUGCAAAUGCUCGGCUAACAAAAGAAUGUGUUGCACCGGUAUCAAAUAAGGUACGUGCUCGAAUACCAGAAAUUAAAAUUAUACCUGCCACCACUCGAUUGACUGCUGAAGAGUCCUCCACCUGGGCUGCAUAUAUUCUGCGACUCAGAGCCUGCUGUCGCCGCUCACCUUGUCGCGGCGCAGAUGCCCUGUCCUCCUGGCGGUAACUCUGAGGUGCUCCAAAAAUCUGCUGAGAUCCAGAUACUGCUGAAGCGGUCGAUGGCGCUGGUGAUGCUGCUCGGGGACAAGCAGACCUCAUAUGCCCCGGCUGUCCACAUCCAAAACAUCGGCCCUCACGCUGCUCACACUGCCGAGCCCAGUGCGGUCCUCCACAAAUCACACAUGGUGGUAAUCCCUGUGACUGCCUCUGCUGCCGCGAUCCUCCAGAACGCUGACGCCCCGAGAACUCACGACCCUGAGAACGCGACCGUGGAGGUCUCGGCGGAUGCCGGCUACUCGACUGUCCACCCUCAUCUGGAGCUGAGCGCUUCCUGUCCUGACUCUGCCCUGCAGCCUGAGUCCUCUCCCGAAUAGAUAUAUCACCUCUCUCAACCCAAAGUGCCUGCUCCAUCGAUGCGUCCAAGGUCAUCAAUCUCUGCGCCUGAACAAAUCAAAAAAUCUCGGGCCUCAAACCCUGCUCGAAAAGGUAUACCCUGUGUGCCUCGUCUCUAGCCACAAACGGCACACAGUUCAGGAGUCGCGUGAACUCUCGAAUAUACUACUGUACUGUCUGGUCCCCCUGCUGGAUCUUCUUUAAAUCCUCCUCGAGUUUCUGUUUCAUACUGUUGGAAAAAUACAUCCCAUACAGCAUUCCACAGAACUCGUCCCAUGUCAUCUGCAAAGUCACCAACUGGUAAUCUCUCCUCACUCUCUGCCACCAAGCAAGGGCAUCCCCUGUCAAGCAAUGCACUCCCAGAUGUACCUGCUCCCGCUCAGGAAUGAAAUGAUUCUCAAAUAACUUCUCCAUCGAGCUGACCCAGUCCUCAACAACCCAAGCCUCUGUGCAUUGGCCCUCCAAAGUCGGUGGAUCGAAACGAUGAAAGCGAGCGAGUCUCUCAGCCAUCUGCUCCUGCUCAGCAUCGAUCAUUUGUAAUGCCUCACCAACCGGCGCAACUGGAACUGAAGGAACGGUCACUGGUGGUGGUACUACUGUAGCUGGUGCUGCCGCUGGAGCAGUCGGAGGUGGAACUAUCUGCUCUGGUACGGUACUCUGUGGCGGGGUGACCCUCUCACACAACCUCUCCAAUAACUCCCCUUGCCGCCUCGUCACUUCUGUCAGAGCGGCCAACUGAGCACUCAAGUCGGGGGAUGCGCUCGCCUCUGGUCGUGUACUCUGCUCCUGCCGGGCACUCGGCUCUGCCUGCUCAGGCAUCUCGGAGGGUCCCACACGAUCCUGCGUCAACUGUGCCCGGUCCCGUGUCGACGGUCGGCCUCGACGACGAUACAUAGCUGCAAAAAUAAAACAGGGUUAGAUAACACAAAUACUCUCGACCCAAUCAACGAAAGUCCGGAAGGCAGCCCCUGUUUCUCCUCAAAAUUAUGUUGUCUGCAGCCAACAUAAUUUUGCAGGCUAGAACAGGCACUCCUCCAAUCACUCACUCCCCUCAGGGUGACUUACAACAACUAAUCAUUGACUUUCGUAAUAAAUCACGCCUCUCCCGUCUUGCUUUCCUAAGGUUUGCCAAACUUAGGUUUCCUAGGUCCCAAUGACCUAAUGCUAAUCUCUGAUACCAACUUAAUCUGUCACGCCCCGGAUUACACGUUCCCCGGGCACGCCGACAAAUCCGCCGUAUACAAAAUUUUUUUUUCUGUAUACGAAGCGAUAGCUGUCUCUGUAAAAUAUACAAUACUACAAACAGUAGUGUAGAGCUGCUACCUGCAGCUGGUGAUCCUCUAGCACAGCGUUUCGUCGGGUAGGGCUCUAGCUCGCGACGGCCUUGCCUCGAUCCGCCUCUGAAGACGCAGCAGCCGGAACAGUAGGCUCUGCAAAACACAGGAUAACAACUGGGCGUGAGAACUACUGUAAAAAUAAGUAGUCCUCAGUGGGUACCGCCCUCAACAUCAUCGGCUCACCCACUAGUAAAAAUAAGUAGUCCUCAGUGGGUAUCGCCCUCAACAUCAUCGGCUCAACAUUAGUGGGUACUGCCCUCAACAUCAUCGGCUCACCCACUAAGACUACAGUAGGAAACAAGGCUAAAAGGUAAACCCGGAAAGAAAUCCACAACUACAUGCCACUACACUAUCCCACUGUGUUUACUAUCAAUUCUGACCCAAUCUCAUUAGGGAUUGUGUACGCACCCGUCCCGCCUGUCUAAGCCGCGCUACCUCCACGCCAAACAGUCCGUGGAUAGCAACUAAUCAGCGACAUCAACGCGAAAGCACAAAGCCAGACUCCAGAGCGGCACUCGUGGGCUCGACCCAACCGAGUAUGCAAGCGUAUCUCUGUCGAGCUCAAUCAGGCUCUCACAGGCUAAAGUCAAGAAAACAGGUCUAACAGUACUACCAACCCCUAGUCACGUGCCCUCGGCACAAUCUGAUAUCGGAACGAUCAAAUCCUGGUCCGCCGUCAACCACUACGGCACCCACUAAUCCGAAACACUGUAAACACUACUGUAAAAAUUGGCUCAGCAUCCCAGCACGAGCGUAACUGAAAUCUGAACUAUCUGGGAUACUCAUUAUGAGGAUACUGCAACAGUAUAAAAAUACAACGGCCCCCAGGGCUAAAUCAGGUAGUUUAACAUAUGCCAGGUCCCGAACGCUGGUUUUCUCCUAUGUUUUAUUCAAGUCCCACAUGUAUGAUUAAUAACAGCUUAUAACAUGCUCCCAAUUCCGUUAAUAUGUCUAAAAUAUAGCUACUCAUGAAUUUGAGCUAAACAAUAACAAUGUGCAAUAUUACGAUACAUGUCGGCGCAUAUGGCUAUAGGAGUAGGAACCCGAUGAUAAACCCACCUCAAACGCUAAAUCCAACCCGGCGUAAUGUCGAGAACGGCAAAAACGCACCCUCGCCCGGCCUCCUCGUGAUGCUACGAUGACGAAGACACGCUCAAACGGCUUCGUGGCGCGACGUCGAGGAUGAUCCACACCACCCGAAGCUUUCUCCACGUACGGCUCAAGAACUAUAUAGAAAAGAAAAUUAAAGCAAUGCACAGAUAUUUAAGUUGAUAAGCAUGCAUGGGGGUAAGGUGCACGUGGCAUCCUUAUCCCCAGCUAGCUUACUGACUCAAAAGAAAUAAUAAAAAAAAUCCAGGAUACUACAGUCCCUAGCGCAAGUGGCAAAAGGGUUUGGUGGUUGGUACCUGAGACCCAAGUUCGAAUCCUAGUUGAUUCACAUUUCUAGCUAAGUUUAUUUCUAAAUGAAAUAAACGAAGCGGGUAGCGUGUUACCUAUCUCUCUCAAAAAAAAAAAAACUUUUAAAUUUCUCUAGUUUAGACAUUAAUUUUGUAUCACUUAUUUAAAAAAAUUUGAAUGUAGAUAAAAAAUAUAAAUUCAAUGUAUUUAAUAUGUUAAAAAAAAUAUAAAAUUGUUCUAUUUUUUAGACAUUAAUUUUGUGUCAGUAUUUAAAAAUUUUGUAAUGUUGGUAAAUAUUUGAAUUCAAAAUAUUUAAUAUGUUUAACAAAAUUUUGAAUUCCUCUUGUUUAGACUUUAAUUUUGUAUUACUAAUUUAAAAGAUUUGAAUGUUGUUAAAUAAUUUGAAACUUUCUUAUAUAAAAUAACGAAAUAUUUGCUGAUGGAGAGGAAAGAUGGAGAGAGAAAAUGGAAACAAAAAGAGAAAAUUUUUUUUGAUAAUAUAGUAAAGAUAAAAUUAUGUAAUUAUCCACGUAUUAAAAGACAAAAAUAUUCCUCAUUGGGGUACCUGAUAAUCGGUACAUCUCUAAAAGUGACCUGCUAUUACAUGUCAUAAUUUUUUAAAAAGUAAAUUUGAGUUGUCGAAUAGGAGUGAAUGAACGGUAUUGAAAAAUAACAACUAUAGAAGCACUUGUACUCCUAUUUUUUAUGGAUCAGAUGAUAUUCUUUCUAAAUUAAUGUGCGAAUUUUGGGACUAUUUUCAUACCAAGAUAUUAGGUUUCUAAAACUAGAUGUCAUAAAAUUGGUAUCACAUUUGUUGGAUUCUCAAUUUGAAAACACCUAUAAAUGACUGAUUAUAAUUAGUGGUGUACGAACAAUCUGGUGCACCGGGUGCAUGCGUAGAGGCAAGUUUCUUCACCAAGGAGAGUUGCAAAAUCAAGAUGUACCUGAUUGGUUUUUCGUAAAACAAUGGAAAACAAAGUUUUUCAAAAAAAAAUUCAUAAAAUUUUACUUUUCAGUUUUUUGUCUGUUUGAUUUUUUUUAAAAAAAUUUCCCUAGAUUUUAUGAUAAAUUAGGAUAAAUUUUAUGAUAAAAUUCAUAAAAUUUUAUGGAAAACAAAGGUUUUAAAAAAAAAACUUUCCCGAGAUUUUAUGAUAAAUUAGGAUUUGUUUAGUUUAUCUAUUUUAGACUGCGGAAUUGGAACACAUAUCACUGAUUCUGAUAAUUAUUGUUUAUUUUAUAGCAAUCUAUCUAUUUACUAUAUACUAAAGUAGAACCCUUUGUGUCAAACUGUCACGUGUCUUUCUGUAUGCUUGCCACGUGUCAAACUCAAAUAUAGAAUAGUAAUUUUAUUAGAAAAUACUAUUAAAUCAAAUCAAAUCAAAUUAUAUCAAUUAACAAAUUAUACCAAUUAAAUAUAAUUAUAUAUACAAAUAGGAAACACUAUUAAAUCAAAUUAAAUAUAAUUAUAUAUACGAUUAAAAAGAAUUUUAUUAGGAAACACUAUUAAAUCAAAUUAAAUUAAAUUAAAUCAAAUUAUACCAAUUAAAUAUAAUUAUAUAUAUACAAUUAAUUAGAAUUUUAUUACGAAACACUAUUAAACACUAUUAUUAUAAUUAUACUCAAAUAUAGAAUAGCAAUUUUAUUAGGAAACACUAUUAAAUCAAAUUAAAUCAAAUUAUACCAAUUAAAUAUAAUUAUAUAUACAAUUAUCUAAAAUUUUAUUAUGAAACACUAUUAAACACUAUUAUUAUAAUUAUAGUCAUUAAAUCAAAUUAAAUCAAAUUAAAUAAAAUUAAAUCAAAUUAUACCAAUUAAAUAUAAUUAUAUAUACAAUUAUCUAAAAUUUUAUUAUGAAACACUAUUAAACACUAUUAUUAUAAUUAUAGUCAUUAAAUCAAAUUAAAUCAAAUUAAAUAAAAUUAAAUCAAAUUAAAUCAAAUUAUACCAAUUAAAUAUAAUUAUAUAUAUACAAUUAACUAGAAUUUUAUUAUGAAACACUAUUAAACACUAUUAUUAUAAUUAUCCUCAAAUAUAGAAUAGCAAUUUUAUUAGGAAACACUAUUAAAUCAAAUUAAAUCAAAUUAUACCAAUUAAAUAUAUUAUAUAUACAAUUAUCUAGAAUUUUAUUAUGAAACACUAUUAAACACUAUUAUUAUAAUUAUAGUCAAAUAUAGAAUAGCAACUUUAUUAGGAAACACUAUUAAAUCAAAUUAAAUCUAUCUAUUUACUAUAUACUAAAGUAAAACCCUUUGUGUGAAACUGCCACGUGUCUUUCUAUAUGCUUGUCACGUGUUAAACUCAAGUAUAGAAUAGCAAUUUUAUUAGGAAACACUAUUAAAUCAAAUUAAAUCUAUCUAUUUACUAUAUACUAAAGUAAAACCCUUUGUGUGAAACUGCCACGUGUCUUUCUAUAUGCUUGUCACGUGUUAAACUCAAGUAUAGAAUAGCAAUUUUAUUAGGAAACACUAUUAAAUCAAAUCAAAUCAAAUUUUACUAAUUAACAAAUUAUACCAAUUAAAUAUAAUUAUAUAUACAAAUAGGAAACACUAUUAAAUCAAAUUAAAUCAAAUUAAAUCAAAUUAUACCAAUUAAAUAUAACUAGUUACGGGACCCGCGCGUUGCAGCGAAAAGUUAACACAACAGUAAUUUAUCAGUUUUUAAUAUUAAUUUUUUUCAACUAUGCAUUAAUUGAAAAUGUAUUAAUUUUGUGAAUUUGAAAUUUUGUAAAGUAACAUGGUGCAAUAGUUAUAAGGAUGAGCUCAAAUAGUAAUAUAUUUCUCACCAUUCACCCUCAAAGUAAAAGAAUAUUUUUUUAUCCACUUACUGAUAGGCAAUUUUGCAAAUACAAAAGAUAGACCUGAGACGAUAUAGAUAGAAGUCAGAUUUGUUGUUGUGCCAUCAAACUUGCUUUAUAUAUUUCGAUCUCAUCAUAGCUCAUUCAUUACCCAUAUAAUUAGAUAGUGCUAUCAAUUCAUAAAUUCAUGAUCCAUAAAAUACAUGAAUUUCAAUGCUCUAACGAAUUCAAAACUCCAGCCGCAAAUUGCAAAUGUUACCAGAGCAAGCACAACAAAGGUAUUUCGAGAACCCUUAAGCAGCGUAAAUAAAUAAACCUUAGUAACUGUAGAACGCAGCGGAAGUUUUCGUUCGUACCUUUUUGCGGAAGCGAUUCGAGCCGGAUCGGAUUGAUUGAUUUACGUGUCCUUGAAUCUUCCUUGAAAAUCUUCUAACUCUCCGAACUCGCGGUGGAUCGAACUACAAACGAGCACGAUCGCAAAUCCACCGUUCAAGUCCCUCUAGAAUAAUAGGUUAAUGGAGGAUGUGGUUUCUCGCUAUUAUUUUCUUAUUCUCUCUCUUUUUCCGUUCGUUUUGUAUAUCGUUUCAUGUGGGAUCGCCCGUCUAUUUAUAAGGAAUUCCAAAAUCCUAAUAGCGUUAGAGAUAAGGCCAAAUCGAUUAUUAUUUGUUAUCCUAAUAUGAUUAGAUUUAUCUCUAAUUAACUUUCCAAUUUGAAAGCGAGAUUAAUCCUAAUCCAAUUAGAUAACAUAACAUCCGUCGGAUCGAACCCGCUUAUGGGCGUACCCGAUUCNGAGUCUACAAUCCACACAGGGAGAGAUUCAGCAACAAACGUGUUAAAAGAGCGAGAAUUGGGAUAGUGUUGUACCUUCUUCGGCUCAGUGCAAUCACGAGCGAAGUGUCCCAGCUGAUUACAGUUGAAACAAGUCAUCUUUGACUUGUCUUUCUUGCCACCUCGUUUGCUUCUUUUUCUUUUAGUGUUCUUCGCAUUCUUAGGCGCGGAUCCGUUACGAUUUUGAGCCCCAGUAGUCCUCUUUCGCUUGAACCGAGAUGUCCUGCGAAAGUUUGACUCAGCAGCAUUGGCAGUUGGAGUUUUAACAGCCUCAAGGCGCUCCUCCUCCAACUCCAAAUGCCGCGCAACAUCCUCAAAAGUUUUGAUAUUAUCGUUAUGGGUCAAAUUUACUCGCAUAUGUUCCCACGAAUUGGGAAGAGAGCGAAUCGUAGCUUGGAUCUGGUGCUCAUCAGUCAAGGUGCCGCCAGCCGACUUUAACUCGCGAAUCAUGUUUGACAUGGUUCUAACGUGCUGUUUCAUAGUCUGAUCGGCACGCUUCUUAUAACUGUCAAACCUCAUAGUCAGACUGCGCAACCUUGUAGCCGAAGUUGCACCAAACUUUGCUUUGAGAGCCUCCCACAUGUCAUACGCAGUCGGAUACUGCUCACACUCGCACAAGAGAUCAUUCUGCAUACUGCUCAGCAACGUGAUGCGAGCAAUGCGAUCCUUCUUAAGCCAAUUAUUAUAGGCUUCCAUAUCUCGGCGAGACUGGGCACUAGUGGCCUCCGUGGGUUGGUCCAUUUUAUUACUCAAGUUUUCCAGAACCUCUUGCUCAGCGAGAACAUAUUGAAUUUUACGGUGCCAAAUAUCAUAAUUGUCACCAUCCAAUUUCUCGCCCUUGUUUAAAUCAGCAACUAUUUGUUUGGAAGCCAUUAAAUCUCACUUUGUUCAUACAAUGCGCAGAGAAUGAUAUUUUAAUAUCAGUACACGAUACAUAUAUUUAAUUUUGCCGCAUCUCUAAUUAAAUAAAUUAAAAAUUAGAUCAUACAUGCAUAAAGGAAAAUUUCGCUAUGCUCAUAAUCACAUCACACACCAUAUGUCAAAAUUUUUAAUUAUUUAAUUAAGAUGCACAAAAUAUUAGGGAGUAAAGACGUAUAAUUUACUCUACCAUAAAUUAAAAGACUCCUACUAGAUAAGGCAUGCAUUUAAAAAUAUAUAUGCCUAAAGUUACAUCUUCACAUCAUAACAGGCAUUAUAAUAAAAAAAAUGCAUGCAUUAUAAAAGUCAAUAUAAAAUUUUAAUAUGCAUUAAACAUAAUAAAAGCAUAUCUAGCCAUCAAAGAAUGCAACAUAUAUCUAAGAUGCAUAUUAAACUUCGAAUUCGCUUAAACAAUUUUAUUAAAAAAAAUGUGCAGAAAAAACGAACAAAAAAAAAAACUGCAGGCCCGCGGGCCCGCUCGCAGCCCGGCUCGAGCAAGGCCUGCGUGCAGCCCGCGAGCGCGGCCAACGCUUGGCCCGCGCUGGGCCCGUAGCGGCCCGCGGACUCGCGAGGCCAGCGGCAGCCCGACGCGGCCCCCGCUGCCCGCGCGGUCGCGAGGUCAGCGGUAGCCCGCCACGGCCCGCACGCUGGCGAGGCCCGCGACGGCCAGCGCGGCCCGCGCGCUUACGAGGCCAGCGCGGCCCGCAUGGCCUGCGCAGCCUGCCGACUACGCACGGCCCGUGCGGCCUGCGUGGCCCGCCGCGUGCGCGCGGCCCGCCGCGUGCGCGCGGCCCGCGCGGUCGCGAGGCCAGGGGUAGCUCGCCGCGGCCCGUGCGGCCUGCGCGCCGGCGAGGCCCGCGACGGCCCGCGCGGCCUGCGCGCUGGCGAGGCCCGCGCGGCCCGCACAGCCUGCGCAGCCCGUCGACUACGCGCGGCCCGUGCGACCUGUGGGGCUCGCCGCCUGCGUGCGGCCCGUGCGGCCUGCGUGGCCCUCGCUGCCGGCGGCCUGCGCCCGUGCGGCGCCGGAACAGUUUUUUUUUUUUUUUUUUUUUUUUUUUUUUUUUUUAUGAUAGGAUAAUUCAAAUAAUCAUCUCUAUAGAUUCAGAAGUCCAAUCUUUGCCCCCCAAAAGGAAAAUAUAUCAAAGGAAACCUUGUGACGAGCUCUUCAAAUCUGCAAGUUUCACAUGAAGAUAUUGAUUUGAAAAAAAAAUCGCCAUGAACGAUCACAUACAUGCAAGAAAAAAAUCUAAAACAUGAUAGAUUUAAGUCUAACGGCAUGUAAUCCUCGUUAAAGGAUGGUUAUCAAGACCACAGAAAUCAACAAAAAAGGCUCUGAUACUAAUACUAGACGCAGCGGAAGUUUCUCGUUCGUCUUUUUGAGGAAGUCGAUUCGAGCGGUCGGAUUGAUUUGAUUUACGUGGUUCCUUGAAUCUCUCCGUUGAAAAUCUUCGUAAUCUCUCCGAACUCGGUGGAUCGAACUACAAACCGAGCAGAUCGCAAAUCCACCGUUCAAGUCCCUCUGAAAUCAAUAGUAUAAUCGGGGAUGUGGUUUCCCUCGAUUAUUUUCUUUAUUCUCUCUCUUUUCCGUUCGUUUUAUAUCGUUUCAUGGUUGGGGAUCGCCCAGUCUAUUUAUAUAGAAUUCAAACUGAAUAGCGUUUAGAGAUAUAGGCCAAAUCCGUAUUAUUUGUUUCCUAAUAUGAUUAGAUUUAUCUUAAAUAACUUUCCAAUUUGAAACGAGCAAUUAAAUCCUAAUCCCAAUUAGAUAACAUAACAUUCCGUCGGAUAGAACCGCUUAUGAGCGCGUACCGGAUUCAGAUUUAACCGGGAAUGCAACGAUAGCAAAUAUUUUCAAUGUUCUAUGAUUCAAAACUUCGCCGCGAAUUACAAAUAGUUACAGAGCAUAAACAUAAGUAUUUCUGUGACCGUUAACAGUGUAAACAAUAAAAGCCAGGAUGUAGAAUACCUGGAAACGAAUUACUGAAAGACAAAGAGACUAAUCUUGUUUAAAUCAACAUGAACAUGUCUAAAACACGAUGAAAGUUAUUAGACAUUUUAAAUUUUCCACAUUAGCAAUGAACGCAAGGAAUUACUGCUGAUAAGGUAAAACAAUAAUUCGAUUCAUUGCAGAGUUGUUUAUUAAGCCUGCGAGACAACUUAGCGCGAUGAAAUGUAACAUUAACAAGUGAAAGCCUCCAUUAUGCGAAAGAUCUGGAAGGACAAUAAUAUUACACCAAAUAUAAAAGAAAAGUAUAAAUACAAUUGAGAAAAAAGUUGUUUAAAAAAACCGAUGAGAAAUUGUCACGUGAAAAAAAAAAAGGCAAAGUUUUGAGAUUAUUCGAGAAACUAAAUAAGAGAGCUAAAAACUGCACAAUAUAUAAACAAAAGCUACAAAAUAGUAUUUAUUUAUUUAACAAAUUGAUGAGUAAUUUAUAACAUAAAAUACACUAUACAGAAGCCAAAGCUUGGUAUCACCGAACAGCUGCCAUAAGAGGGAGGAAAAAGUAGGAAGAUAAUAGAAUUAAGAGCACAAAAACAAAGCUUGAGCUAACAAGUAAUACAAAAACAUAUGUGAGAAAUUUAAACGUAAUAGCACAGAAUAAUAGAGCAUCUAACAAAUAAUAAAUAACAAAAAUCCAUCACGGAAUGAAUCGACAGUAAACACAAAUAUUUUCGAAUUUUAUACGAAAAUAAAAAUAAUUUGUGUUGAAGUACUACCAUCGUAUAAAUCUCAACAUCUAUUGCAAAACUUGUAUAUUGUUUAUAAUUGCAAAUCCUAAAAUUUUGAUAUUGUUUAUAAUGCCAAAACGGUGUCACGGCCCCGCGACGAUCCAAUUUGGGACCCGACACAUCAAAUUAACGGGCCGAACGACAGAGCUUUGCCCCUAUGCCCCAAGGCCUCAUCACAUGUACAGAAUUCAACAAGAAUUGCACUAGCGAAAACAUACACAAACGGCUUACACGGAGGUAAGAAAUUAGCCAUUAUGAAAGAAAGGAACUAAACAUUCCUGUUACUAUGAUUUCAUUUUGAUCAUAUAACAUUGAUUCUAUCUUUUAUUUUCGAAUUCCAUUACAUACAUUUCUCAUUUCUUUCUUACAUCAAUAUCUAUCCUCAAAAUAAGCUUCACACAUUUUUCCUUACAUCACUACCAUCAUGUAACAAAGAUGAUCAUAGGGUACUUUACUACAAAUUGAAAACCCAACUUUGUGCCCCUGGUCAGGGUGCCGAUACCUUUAACCUCGCGCCUCGCCCGCUCGCAUCAGGUCCUGGCGCUGUGGAAAUAGUGGGGUGAGAACACAACAAAAUUCCAAUGGGUUCGGCUCAACAUCACCGACUUUCCCCUUAGGACUAACUCAGGCAUAAUAGAAAGAAUAAGCUGCAUAUAGUAACCAAUCUAUACAUGAUGCUAAUAUGCCUGAACAAUAAAGCAAGGAGUAUACUCAACAUUAAAUAAAUGCAGAUUAUGCAAGUUCUUUGUUCUCUGCUCUUUACUCUUUGUUCUUUGUUCUCUGCACUUUGUUCUUUACUCUUUGUUCUUUAAUCUCAAGGCUAACCCGGGGCUUCGCCACAUUAACUUGCUUCACAUUAAGUCCAUCAUCGCAGGAACUCACCCGCUAGGACCGUCCUUCGGGUUUACUCCAACCCGUGAUGCAUAACUCCGGAGCGCAUCGCCCGAGGGGGAGCGACCGCCCUCGAGCACGGAACUCAUAGCAAGUAUGAUCAUAUCCUUAACUCAAAGGAUUUAUAGUUCAAUCUUGACUUUACACUAGCUCUAGUGUUCUUUCAUCACUUUAUGUUGCUAACUCUAGCAAUCAUUGUUCUUUACUUUUCUUUUACUUUUGCCAUCUUUAACAUUCUUGUUCUUUACAUUUCCUGUUCUUUACAUUUCUUGUUCUUAUUGCCCCACUUUACUUUAACUUUAUACAUAUUGUCAUUUUUGUCAUUCUUUACAUCACUUUGGUUCUUUACCUCACACUAUCUCUAGUGUCAUUUCACUUUAACUUUAUCAAAUGCCACUCGAUCUAUGUCAUUGUGUCACUCUGUUCUUUUGCUCACUUUGGGUGCUCACUUUUCUCUCAUGCAUACACAUAGGGUUUUCGACAUCACAUAGUUCUCAUUCAUCAUAUUAUGCAAGUUGUACUCACAAUCAUGCAACAUCAUAUUUUCAUCAUUACUUUACCCUAAAAUGCAUGCAACAAUAUAUAUACACAUGUUCAAUGAAUGACACAUUAGGCAUAGAGAGAAGUUCAAUGAGUUUGAGAAGUACCACCCACCUCGUAGGUCUAUUUAGGUGCUCCGACGAUUUUCUUGAGAUUUAUAGGCUCCUCGUUCUUCACCUGCGGCAAAACGAAGCCAACUUAGGCUAUUUUGCCCAUAUCUUUCUAUAGACUUUUCGUAACGUUAAUUCGAACGCACCAACGCGUCGAAAAUACCCCCAAUUAGGUUUCUAGAGGGUCAAUUGAACUUAGAAAGCCCCAUGAGCAAAAGCCCCAAUUUGGUGCCCUAGCUUUAAUACAUAUACAAAACCUAGGGUUUGAUCUCAUUGGGAAGCAAAAGUAGCUUCAAUAUACUCUAAAAAGUCCAUUAAAACCAUCUUUAGACAAAUCAAAACCCUACUUAGGGUUUCACCAUUAGAGGUGGGUUGAAGCUCACCUUGAGCUCAACCAUGGUUUUGAUCUCUAAAGAAGCAAAAAGAAAGCUUCAAACUACUAGAUAUUCCAUUAGAAACCAUUUCUAGGUUUAUUCAAACCCAUUUCUAGGGUUUUACUAUAUUAGGGUUCAAAGCUUACCUUGUAAGCUUCCUUUUCUUGGACUAGAGAAGAAGGAGAUGAAGCCUCUUUGCUCCAAAAGCUUCUUCUUCACCUUCUUUGUCUUCUUUUCCUUUCUUUUCCUUUGCCUUCUUCUUCUCCUUCUUUGUCUUCUAGAGAGAGAAAGAGAGGAGAGAGUGUGAGAGGGUGAGAAUGAGAGAAAUGUCUCAUUUACCCCAAUACUAUACUCAAUGGGUUGCCAAAAUGCAGCUAAACCCCUCAACUUUUACUCUUUCACACAGCCUAGACUGGGCUGUUCGCGCAGGAGAGGACCGGUCUCUCCUUCAGGGACCAGUUCCCGAAGGCUCUCCCCGCGCAGCCAGAGCUGCUGCGCGCAGGGCAACCGGUCUCUCCUUCAGGGACCCGUCUCUCGGGGACCGGUCUCUCAGGCAGGGACCGGUUCCCGAGAGCUACUUUCUCAGGACUUAGCCGAUUUUUCGACUGUCUCAUUUCAUACGCGUUCGGGGACCGGUCUCUCCCACCAGGGACCGGUCCCCGAGAGCUGAAAAUCUGCAGUUUUGCAGAAUUUGAUUCUUUAGCUCUCGAAAACCUUCCACAACGCACUUUUAAUCAUUUUAACACCUUCGGACUUUCCGAAGUGUACCAUCCUCGCACUUUGGUCAAUUUGACUAAAGUUCGACAUCUAUUUUCCGAAUUUUCGGUAUAUUACAAAAGGAUUUUUCUUUUCUUAAAAAAGUACCACAAAACAGGAAAAAGUCCAAAAAAAUAGUGAGAAAAAUAGUGAGUACAAAAGGAAGAGUAAAAAUAAUGCGAUAAAUAGUUACGAAAUCUAUGUAGCAACCAUACCUAAAUUAAACGGGCAAGUUUCAUCACAUAAAAUAGGCAAAAAACAGAGAAGUCUAGAAAGAAACAAUACCGAAAUAAGCACAGCAUGUCAUAAAAAUCAGACAAAGAACCCCCCAAAAAAGUGCAAUACAUAAGCUCGGGAAUUGGAGUUUGAAGAACAUAAUCAAACUUUUUAAUACCUAAAAUAAUUUUUAGGUUACGAAGCCAGCCUAGGAAAUUAGGGCUGGUUAAUCGGUUAUAUUCCAUUAUGUGAGAAAGAGGGUUAGAGGCAUUCAUUUUGUCUGUAGAAAGUAGAGAUUUUAGUUAGAUGAGUAUUUUUCUUUUUAACCUAUUAAACUAGGGUCUUUUAGUUUAAAAGGUUCCUCCCACUAAUUUUAUCAAAUUUCUACACUCCCUAAGUAGAAAGACGGAAAUCCUCAUCCGUUAGUGUCACGCCCCGCAACCGCCAAUUUUGUCGGUUCGGGAACGUCGAUCAGACGCCGAACGGACAGAACCUCCUUUGUCCGCCCAAGGCUAACAACAACAAGAUCAUGUACUUAACAGUUGCCCAGGGAACAUGAACCACAUACAUGAUCUAGCAAGUAUUAAUACAAGUAAUGACAAGCAAUCAACAAAAGAGAGAAAGAACUAGCUAUUACAAUUUCAUUCAACAUAUACAUCGAGUUUACACUUUUCAUCUCCAAAAUGUAUAUCUAUUCAUCCACAACUCUCCAAAAUACAAAUACAUCAAGUCCUCUCAUCUAUACAAGGUGUACUAAUGCAUUAGGAAAGAUGUCUAGCUACUAAGGCGCUAUGCCCUUACCGCGGUCCUCGCCCGGUACGCUCGAACUCGGCCCUGCAACAAAGUGGGGUAAGAACUAUAUAAAUAUAGUUCCCA